rnacentral:tRNA from 1 species
GGGGAUGUGGUGAAAUGGCAGACACGCUAGACUUAGAAUCUAGUGCCGUAAGGUGUGGGAGUUCGACUCUCCCCAUCCCCACCA